rnacentral:sRNA from 1 species
GCGGCCGCAACACCCAGCACCACAGGCACCAAGUCCAACACGCCCACAUCCUCCGUGCCCUCAGCCGCCGUCACUCCCCUCAACGAGAGCCUGCAGCCCCUGGGGGACUAUGGCGUGGGCUCCAAGAACAGCAAGCGUGCCCGGGAGAAGCGCGACAGCCGCAACAUGGAAGUCCAGGUCACCCAGGAGAUGCGCAACGUCAGUAUAGGCAUGGGCAGCAGUGACGAGUGGUCUGAUGUUCAAGACAUUAUUGACUCCACGCCAGAGCUGGACAUGUGUCCAGAGACCCGCCUGGACCGCACAGGAAGCAGCCCAACCCAGGGCAUCGUGAACAAAGCUUUCGGCAUCAACACUGACUCCUUGUACCACGAGCUGUCGACGGCAGGGUCUGAGGUCAUCGGGGAUGUGGACGAAGGGGCCGACCUCCUAGGUAAGCGCAAGCCUUCCCCAACCCCGCCGUGCCUGCACAAUGCUGGGGCUUUCUGCUGUUGGUUUUGUUUGUAAUGAAAG